UUUCCAAGCUUUCCUCUUCUCUGAAGUCUGAACACCGAAGCCGAGCCGACCUAAACUCUGAAGCUUUCCUCUUCUCUAAUGGCAACAAUCCUCUCCUCCACCGCAUCAGUCUGAUUUACUCUUCCAACUAAGAUCUCCACUCAAGAUUGAAACUUCGCUGUCCUCGUCGUUGUUGGUGCUCGCCGGAGGACAGGAGACAACCCUUUCUUCCUCCCAUUUGUGAUAAAUAUUAAGAGUUCAUCCACUGUCACAUUGAG